UGUGUGUGUUAGAUAGGGCUGAUUUGCCUGGCUGAAGACACAAAGCAGGAUUAUAAAGCCACUAGGGUUAGAGUUAUGGGUAGAGCAGGGCCCACCAGACACAGUAUGGAGAGAGAGAUAGAGAGAGAGAGGUAGAGAGAGAGGUAGGUAGAGAGAGAGAGAGAGAGGUAGGGGUAGAGCAGGGCCCACCAGACACAGUAUGGAGAGUGGGAGGUAGAGAGAGAGAGGUAGAGAGAGAGGUAGGUAGAGAGAGAGGUAGAGAGAGAGACAGACAGGGAGAGAACAGGUCAUCCAGCCUUUCAGUUCCUCCACCCUCACAUGCUAUGACAUCUUCUGGUUUCAAUGAUGUUUCUAGAGACAAUAUCUCUCUCAUCGUCACUCAAUGCCCAGGUUCACCUCCACUGUAUUCACAUCCUGCCAUACCUUUGUCUGUACAUUAUACCUCAAAGCUAUUUUAUCGCCCCC
rnacentral:lncRNA from 1 species